UUUGUGUUUAAUAACAACUAAUAUUUAACCAGGAAAAUGCCUCGUUGUACAUUUCAAGUCAGAUCUAUUCCAGAGUAAAAACAAAAAACUGUUAGAUGUCAAAUCAGCAGCAGAGCAGAAGCUGGUGUGUGGACGAGAGCAGGCGGCGGCAGGAGGAAGUGACGAACAGCUGCAGUCACAGUAAGUACAGGAAGUCAGAAACGCUCCCGUCCCGUCAGAGCCGUCAGGUGAAGCCCGACAGCAGCAGACGGAGGGGCGGAACAUACCAGCGGGGGCCACGUCUUUCAUCAUGUUAAGCUUUGCUAGGUAAUGUUGAUACAUAUAAUGUCAUAUGACAUUGUAGCUAUGAUGCUGAUUAAUUUAUCUUAGACAAUGCAAAUGUUACAUAUUUUGUAAGGGAUGAGAGCGGCCUCGGAGAGCCUCCACUAUUUUUUGUUUGGAUACAAAGUUCAGUCUCUCAACCGAUUUAUUCAGCCAAUUUGAAUUUAGUUAUGACACUAAUUACUUAGAAAUAAAAACAAUCUUUUUAUUCCAGGCUUUUCGAGGGCCCUACCUCCAUUGGGGCCCUGGGUAGAAAGUCCCACUUUCCCCCCACUGCCAGAAUGUAGGACAGAAAAAGUCGGAUGAAUUUGUCUUGGAGUAUUUUAAUUCUGAACGCAGGGUAUUUCAGACACCAUUGGCUGAAAAUGAAUGAUGGAAAAGUGGCAAGACUUCAGGCUCUCUUCCCAGACGUCAAGGGACAUUGUGCUAGUGAAAAAUACCAUCAGUUUUUAGACGGCUCCUCCUUUCCACCAUCCAUUCAUUCAGGGAAUUCAUGAAUGAUUGAAAAUGGGCAAUCACUGUAGAAAACGUGUCUUGUAUAUAGCGGAACAUGUUGUCUGUCGGUUAACUGAUGUUUCGGCUCAGGAUAUUAAAAACAGGGUGAGCAUGAGCGGUUUUAUCAGACGUUGAAGAAAGCCUAUUGGACGUUGUUCAGUCCCAUUCUGUACACACACCUCGGGAACUGUGUGGGAACCGUCACACAUUGGACCUCAUCGACGAUUGUUCAGUGUCUGAAACCUUUUGUGAAAUCAUAAAAGAGAUGACUAAAGACUCCCAUGUGACAGUGAACCAUCUGUUUACUCUGCACUUUGUUUGUAGAUGAGCCGUGCAGGAUGAAACGGGGAAAUAUAUACAUAUAUAUAUAUAUAUAUAUGUGUGUAUAUAUAUAUAUAUAUAUAUAUAUAUAUAUUAUACUCUGCAUAAGGCUGCCAGGAUACAUUUAGUCAGAAACAGAGUUUUUGUACCAUGACCCCUACAUCAGUUUCAGGCAGACCUUUGCGGCAUGCAAGCCUUGGCCAAACAUAACGACGGUUUUAAUUAUCUAUGGUCAUCGAUGUAUUUUCCAAAUAGGCCUGCAUACGAGUGUAUGAAAACAGGAGCCGAGGUCAUUAGGGCGUUUGACUCCAUUUUAAGAGACAGCCAGAACCCAGAAAGUUACUGGCACACCUGCCCCUGGGACUCUUCAGUUCCCUACCGGAUGCCUCUCCCGGAGCAGCCUCUCUCCUCCCCUCUCCCUGUGUGUCUACACAGAGUGAUUGUCUGCAGGUGUGCUGAAGUCAAUCGAGACCUCUUCUUAAGACUCUGCCCAGCCAUCUGCACACUGCACAAUCGUCAGAGUUCGCUACGCUCCAGCCUCCAUCACCUCCUGUUUUGCCUGUUUCUAACUCCGUUCUCCAUCUCCUCGCAGACCUGCCAGCCCUGACUUCGGCCUCUGUUCCCUCCGCUGCUCAGAUUUCGGCAACUUUGCCUCCCGAUCUACUUCACUCCAGUCUCCAGCUCACUUAGCUUUUCUCCGGGAAAUCCCCCUGGACCCCUGGACGCUCCCCUGGCUCUGUUCGGCUCCAAACCCCGGCUCCAAACCCCGGCUCUCCCCUGACGUUAAAGCACACCCUCUCGUGUAAUAUUGCUUAAUUCAAGACCAAUCUUUUGUCUUCAGACCAUUCUCACAAGUUGUAACAAUCUCUGAACAUUUGUAAAGAACAGACAGUGUGGUGAAAGACUGAUUCCAUAUACAACGUUGAUUUCCAUUGCAUCGUUUUUUAUCACAUCAUCUCGGGAAUUCUCCAGGAUGGAGUAAGUUUGCACAUUAACGCGGGAUAAGGGGUGGAGAGUGUUACCCCUCAGUAAGGCCGGCCACCUAAACCUGACCUAAACGCACAGCGGGCGAAAUGGUCGCUUUCUUGACAAACAGAGAGGCUGCCGGUAUAUUUAAUCGGGACUUGCCGGUGGGGGCACACAUGAGACAGAAGACGUCGUUAGCGUUAGAGUUCAAAAGAAGCCUCUUGCUGAACAAUAUGUCAGCGUGGAGAGGACCCAACCGGUGAACCUCUUUAGAAUUAACCCUCUGUUGGACUGUUGUUAGUCACUGCGGAGUCUAUAGAGCCGGCCAUGUCUUCGUAAAAUAACCCGACGCAGAACUGACUGAUAUUUUAGUGUGAGUCACAGGCAGUAAAAAAAGUAGAUGAUACUGACUGCCCGUCUGAAAUUCAAAUCUCUUUUGAAUGGAGAAGAGUAAAAAAAUUCAAAGUAGGCCGGUGUGCGGGUCUGAAAUCUCCAUCAAGGCGCUCCGUUUAUGACGCCAUUACCUGGAUCAAAGCGGAGCGCACCGGUCGCUCACCGUCUUUCCACUGUAACUCUGUUACUGCAGCAGGCGCUCAACGUUGACCUUUAAUUUCCCCAAGGAAGGCCUUAACUCGAUGAGCAACAGACUGUUUUGUGUUUGCUGAAACACUUUUUGGAUCCCGAUUGUUGCACUCUACAUACAGUAACAAUCUUUGCCUUGCGAAGGAAGACAGGUUUUACCAUUUUGCUUCAUGGAGAAAAGGAUAACCGCUGAGUCUCUCUCUCUCCGCUGAAAGUCCACUGCUGCUUCCCUCCGCUGCCGCCCGAAGGAAGAGUUUGGCCGUUGAACCCGCCGACAGCGCGGCCCGGCCACGUCAGUAUCUGAGCCCGAGAGGAGUCCGCCGGACAAUCCAAACGGACUGACACAUUCAGUCGCUGUCAAGAGCGAUCUCAAGGAAGAGGCUUGUGUCUGGCAGAGAGAGGUUUCUAACUGUGUGUUAUUCCAUCCAGGCUUCAUUGCUGUGAAUUGUGCUUUGCAUUAGUGUGGAAAGGAACGGACCGCCGUGUCCUGUUUGGCUGCGCUUUCCUUUGUUCCAUUGUGCAUCGGUACCACGCCACUGGGCCGUUGUGAGUUUUAGAGACUGUGGAAGCCAGUAACUGCUUCAUCAGACCAAAGUCCAGUCACACGGCUGCUGAAUGAGAGUCUGCUGCCGGGUUCCUGUGUGAUACGGGGACAGCUAUUGUCUUACGUGACAUUUGAGACUUCUGGUGCCUUACUCUGCGUGCUUUUCUUGCUCUCUCCUCUUCACUAACCAACACACCUUUACACGUACAUAUACACACUUACACACACAUUUCAAAGGGCCCAGUGGUAGAACAACUCGUUACGCUCCACGCCAUUUUGGCUCUGCCCCUUUGUUUCAGAUUUGCGGGUCUGCCCGCCAUUUUGGAUCUGUGCGUGAUGACCGCCCAUGUGGUCACGUCCGCCACCUUCCUCGCACCCCCCCGCUCUAAUGUCUCACACACACACACUCGCUUGCUGACUGUUGUAUGCUCAUUGUGUUUGGAUUAGACGAUAGUGGUUGUUGGCUGAAGUUAUUGAUUAUUAAUCAGUGCUGAGGUUAAAUAAACACUAUUGUAUCUUUUAAAGAGCAUCUGCCUGUGGUUAGUGUGUACGUGUUGUAACAGCUGGUUGUGACGGUCAGUGCUGGAUCUCACCCUCCACUGUUCACCAUUAUUAAUGUAAGAGGUGGACAGCCACCUUUGAGACUUUUCAUAUUAUCGAUAGUCAGAGUAUUACUGCUCCGCCACAGGCGCUCAGCUAAGUUAUUAACCUGGGCUUUUGGCUUGAGGCUCUGUGCGCGCUCCCAUAAAAGAGGGCGUUUGAGCGUCAUUUGACUGUUCUUCCACACAAAAUGGAGCAGCCCCGUUUCCUAGCAAUUACAUUUCUAUGCGACUAAUUUGCAACAGUAAAUUCGUUUUGAGGGAAACGUAAUCGCCGCCUACUUUUAUUGACAGGGACGAUGCAGUUUCUAAUGUUCAACUCUUAUCCCUAGUUAGGCUUUUACAUGUAGGCUACAGUGUGAUUGGUCUUCCAGAGCGGACAGCCUUUUAUGGAGAAAGCUGAUUGUCCAAAUGUAGGUGUUCAUGUGGUAUUUUACAAUUACCAUCACGAUGCUCCUCCUUAUAAUGGAGAGCAGAACAACAGGCCUCUAAAAACUGCUGAAGAGAGGAAUGCUUGGCAGAAUAAGUCAGUAUAUUUAUUUGACCUCUCAGUGCCUCCUCAUUUCUAACAUGGCCGCUGCACAUUCAGAUUUUAACUUCAUACUCGAGAAGUGCAUUCUGCACCGACACCGUCCCAGAAUGAAGGACACGUGGAAAUCACAGGUUUUGGCCAAAUCAAAGAGAAAGGAAUUGUAUUGAUUGAAUAUUGUCUGUGAUAAAUACCAAUAGACUAAUCAAUGUUCUAAUCUGUGCCUCUAAUCAGCUGCAUUACCGGCGGCGUAAAACGGACCAAACAUAAAACCACCACCCGAAGUGGUCUGUAGCUGCUGAGCCUUCAUCCUUCUGUUGGUGUGUUGAUAUCACAGAUUUUCUGCAGGUUCCCAUGGCAACGCGAUGUCUGCGACAGGCCGAGUGUAACUGCCCGGCUUCGCUCGAGGCUCAGCAGGUUUAAUAUGUAACGCUUUCCCUAAGAGAACACCGUCGGGAGCAGAAGCAGCGAGAGGCCGGCGCUCUUCCUCCCCCGGAGCAGGCCGGGUGUUCAGCAUCACUUCCCAUGGCGAUCAGAGCCAGCUUCGUGACACGGACAGCUCUGGCUUUAGGCUCACCAAAGCUCGCUCCGCGGUUAGCACGUUGCCUUCUCAUCUGAGUUUUGAAAUGAUUUUGUUAACAGCUAUUUUUCCCCAAAUGACUUUCUUUCACCUGUUUUGCUCUUCUUAUUUGGUAGGCUUCAGUUUUUUUGAAAGACAUGAUGCCCAGAGGUUCUCUUUGAAUCCUUUGGUGCAGAAGCAUCAGGUCCAAACGUACUGCAGGAGCGGACUAUCUCUUACAAUCUGUUAUUGUUUAAGACACAAACAACUGUCCUGCAGGCCGGGCAACCCGGCUUACCUCGGCCUGCCCGGCCUGCACAGCUGGGGGGCACGCUGACGCCGAUGCAGGUGUCCUGGAUUGUGGACUGUCUGACUGGUCGGCCACUGCGUGGUUGACACUGUGGUGAGCAACACGGGGCCCCUCAGACGAUGGUCCCGCCAUCCUUUCUGUUCACCCUCUACACCUCGGACCUCAGACACAACUCCAAGUGCUGCCACCUGCCGAAGUUCUCAGACGACUCUGCAAAAAUCUGUGUUUUGCUGCCCUCUGUGGUUGAACGUUUCAAACCUGUUUCGCCUCUGACCACCCCCAACAGUGAUGUCACGGGCUCCUGGUAUCACCUGCACAUCAGUGCAGCAAGAUUUGGAGAAUUCGGAUUCGGAUUUUGAGCAGGGAGCAGAGGACGUAGAUGGAGACGGAGACGGCGAUGUCCCUGUGUUUUCACAGAGUCCAGACCUCACAGCCUGCGUGCUGUUAUUGGAGAAAAUACAGGCAGCGUCUCUGCAGAGACAGACACCGCCACACACUUCUACUGGGUCAGAAGUGACGACUGAGACGGAUCACUUUUGUAUGAGGCUACACAUUGUUUUUUAGGAAGAUCCUACUCACUCUGCCUUUUAAAUAACA